rnacentral:ncRNA from 1 species
AAAUAAAUUUUUUAUGGUUUAAAAAUUUUAUUUUAAAAUUUAUUUUACAUAUAAAUUUUAGUGUUAAUUUUAAAUUAUUUAAAUAAUAUUUAAAAUAUAAUAGUAGUAAUUAAUAUUAAAUUAUUUAAGAAAUUAAGAUUUAGUAAUAUUUUAAUUAAUAACAAAUUUUGUGCCAGCAGUUGCGGUUAUACAAAAAUUAAAUUAAAUUUUAUUGAUUAUUAAUUAAUAUUUUUAUUUUAAUAAAAAUUUUAAAUUAUUAGGUGAAAUUUUAAUUUAAUUAAAUUUUAUAAUUAUAUAAAUUAUGAUUUAAAAAAUUUUAUAAAAAAACUAGGAUUAGAUACCCUAUUAUUAAAAUUUAAAAUUAAAAUAUCAAAAUAGUAGAUAAAUAUUUAUUGAAACUUAAAUAAUUUGGCGGUAUUUUAGUUCAUUUAGAGGAAUCUGUUUAAUAAUUGAUAAUCCACGAAUGAAUUUACUUAAUUUAUUAUUUUGUAUAUCGUUGUUAAAAAAAUAUUUUUUAAUAAAAUUAAUAUUUAAAAAUUAUUAUAAAAAUUUAAAUCAGAUCAAGAUGCAGAUUAUAAUUAAGAAUAUAAUGGAUUACAAUAAAUUUAUUUAAAUGAAUAUUAAUUUUUAAUAAUUAAUUGAAAGUGGAUUUAAAUGUAAUUUUAUUUAGUUUAAUAAAAUGAUUUAAAAUUAAAAUAUGUACAUAUUGCCCGUCGCUUUCAUAUAUUAAUAAAUUGAAAUAAGUCGUAACAAAGUAGAGGUACUGGAAAGUGUUUCUAGAAAGAA